rnacentral:rRNA from 1 species
UACGGAGGGUGCGAACGUUAAUCGGAAUCACUGGGCGUAAAGCGCGCGUAGGCGGUCUGUUAAGUGGGAUGUGAAAUCCCCGGGCUUAACCUGGGAAUUGCAUUUCAAACUGGCCGACUAGAGUACGGUAGAGGGAGGUAGAAUUUCCUGUGUAGCGGUGAAAUGCGUAGAUAUCGGGAGGAGCAUCUGUGGCGAAAGCGGCGCACUGGACCAUAACUGACGCUGAGGCGCGAAAGCUAGGGGAGCAAACAGG